UCCGUAGGGGGCAAGCGUUGUCCGGAAUCAUUGGGCGUAAAGCGCGUGUAGGCGGCUGAGUAAGUCUGCUCUGAAAGCCCGGGGCUCAACCCCGGGAGGCGGGUGGAUACUGCUCAGCUCGAGUCCGGAAGAGGAGUGUGGAAUUCCUGGUGUAGCGGUGAAAUGCGCAGAUAUCAGGAGGAACACCAAUGGCGAAGGCAGCACUCUGGGACGGUACUGACGCUGAGACGCGAAAGCGUGGGGAGCAAACAGG
rnacentral:rRNA from 1 species